rnacentral:rRNA from 1 species
UCCUCCCUCUUUCUUCGUGCCUAAUACAUGCAAGUAGAACGCUGAAGAGAGGAGCUUGCUCUUCUUGGAUGAGUUGCGAACGGGUGAGUAACGCGUAGGUAACCUGCCUUGUAGCGGGGGAUAACUAUUGGAAACGAUAGCUAAUACCGCAUAACAAUGGAUGACACAUGUCAUUUAUUUGAAAGGGGCAAUUGCUCCACUACAAGAUGGACCUGCGUUGUAUUAGCUAGUAGGUGAGGUAAUGGCUCACCUCGGCGACGAUACAUAGCCGACCUGAGAGGGUGAUCGGCCACACUGGGACUGAGACACGGCCCAGACUCCUACGGGAGGCAGCAGUAGGGAAUCUUCGGCAAUGGGGGCAACCCUGACCGUGCAACGCCGCGUGAGUGAAGAAGGUUUUCGGAUCGUAAAGCUCUGUUGUAAGUCAAGAACGGGUGUGAGAGUGGAAAGUUCACACUGUGACGGUAGCUUACCAGAAAGGGACGGCUAACUACGUG